rnacentral:rRNA from 1 species
GGAAAGUCGCACGGUACAGGGUGAUAGUCCCGUACACAAAAAUGCAUAUGUUGUGAGUUCGAUGAGUAGGGCGGGACACGUGACAUCCUGUCUGAAUAUGGGGGGACCAUCCUCCAAGGCUAAAUACUCCUGACUGACCGAUAGUGAACCAGUACCGUGAGGGAAAGGCGAAAAGAACCCCGGCGAGGGGAGUGAAAUAGAACCUGAAACCGUGUACGUACAAGCAGUGGGAGCACCUUCGUGGUGUGACUGCGUACCUUUUGUAUAAUGGGUCAGCGACUUAUAUUUUGUAGCAAGGUUAACCGAAUAGGGGAGCCGUAGGGAAACCGAGUCUUAACUGGGCGAAUAGUUGCAAGGUAUAGACCCGAAACCCGGUGAUCUAGCCAUGGGCAGGUUGAAGGUUGGGUAACACUAACUGGAGGACCGAACCGACUAAUGUUGAAAAAUUAGCGGAUGACUUGUGGCUGGGGGUGAAAGGCCAAUCAAACCGGGAGAUAGCUGGUUCUCCCCGAAAGCUAUUUAGGUAGCGCCUCGUGAACUCAUCUUCGGGGGUAGAGCACUGUUUCGGCUAGGGGGUCAUCCCGACUUACCAAACCGAUGCAAACUCCGAAUACCGAAGAAUGUUAUCACGGGAGACACACGGCGGGUGCUAACGUCCGUCGUGAAGAGGGAAACAACCCAGACCGCCAGCUAAGGUCCCAAAGUCAUGGUUAAGUGGGAAACGAUGUGGGAAGGCAUAGACAGCCAGGAUGUUGGCUUAGAAGCAGCCAUCAUUUAAAGAAAGCGUAAUAGCUCACUGGUCGAGUCGGCCUGCGCGGAAGAUGUAACGGGGCUAAACCAUGCACCGAAGCUGCGGCAGCGACGCUUAGGCGUUGUUGGGUAGGGGAGCGUUCUGUAAGCCGUUGAAGGUGACCUGUGAGGGUUGCUGGAGGUAUCAGAAGUGCGAAUGCUGACAUAAGUAACGAUAAUGCGGGUGAAAAACCCGCACGCCGGAAGACCAAGGGUUCCUGUCCAACGUUAAUCGGGGCAGGGUGAGUCGACCCCUAAGGCGAGGCUGAAAAGCGUAGUCGAUGGGAAACAGGUUAAUAUUCCUGUACUUGGUGUUACUGCGAAGGGGGGACGGAGAAGGCUAGGCUAGCCGGGCGACGGUUGUCCC